rnacentral:rRNA from 1 species
GAUGAACGCUGGCGGCGUGCCUAAUACAUGCAAGUCGAGUGAACAGACGAGGAGCUUGCUCCUCUGACGUUAGCGGCGGACGGGUGAGUAACACGUGGAUAACCUACCUAUAAGACUGGGAUAACUUCGGGAAACCGGAGCUAAUACCGGAUAAUAUAUUGAACCGCAUGGUUCAAUAGUGAAAGACGGUUUUGCUGUCACUUAUAGAUGGAUCCGCGCCGCAUUAGCUAGUUGGUAAGGUAACGGCUUACCAAGGCAACGAUGCGUAGCCGACCUGAGAGGAGGGUAGGCCACACUGGAACUAGUAAGCGGACCGGACUCGGACGGGAGGCAGCAGUAGGGAAUCUUGCGCAAUGGGCGAAAGCCUGACGGAGCAACGCCGCGUGAGUGAUGAAGGUCUUCGGAUCGUAAAACUCUGUUAUUAGGGAAGAACAAAUGUGUAAGUAACUAUGCACGUCUUGACGGUACCUAAUGAGAAAGCCACGGCUAACUACGUG